UACAGAGGUCCCGAGCGUUGUUCGGAUUCACUGGGCGUAAAGGGCGCGUAGGUGGCGGGGUAAGUUUGAUGUGAAAUCUCCGGGCUUAACCCGGAAAUGGCAUUGAAUACUAUUCUGCUGGAGGUUUGGAGGGGGGACUGGAAUUCUCGGUGUAGCAGUGAAAUGCGUAGAUAUCGAGAGGAACACCAGUGGCGAAGGCGAGUCCCUGGACAACACCUGACACUGAGGCGCGAAAGCUAGGGGAGCAAACAGG
rnacentral:rRNA from 1 species